AGGGGGUUUUUUAAUAUAAAUAAUUAGCGUCGUGGCGCAGUGGAAGCGCGCAGGGCUCAUAACCCUGAUGUC